rnacentral:tRNA from 1 species
GGAGCCAUGGCUUAGUUGGUUUAAGCGCCUGUCUAGUAAACAGGAGAUCCUGAGUUCGAAUCUCAGUGGUGCCA